CAGCAGCCGCGGGAAUACGUAGGUGGCAAGCGUUGUCCGGAAUUAUUGGGCGUAAAGGGCUCGCAGGCGGUUUCUUAAGUCUGAUGUGAAAGCCCCCGGCUCAACCGGGGAGGGUCAUUGGAAACUGGGAAACUUGAGUGCAGAAGAGGAGAGUGGAAUUCCACGUGUAGCGGUGAAAUGCGUAGAGAUGCGGAGGAACACCAGUGGCGAAGGCGACUCUCUGGUCUGUAACUGACGCUGAGGAGCGAAAGCGUGGGGAGCGAACAGGAUUAGAUACCCGUGUAGUCCCUGUCUCUUAUAC
rnacentral:rRNA from 1 species